rnacentral:rRNA from 1 species
CCGGGUGUGUAAGCGCAGCGAUGCGUUGAGCUAACUGGUACUAAUGAACCGUGAGGCUUAACCUUACAACGCCGAAG